GACGCAGUAGGAUAGGCGAAGCGUGCUGUUGGAGUGCACGUCCAAGCAGUGAGAUUGAGUGUUAGGCAAAUCCGGCACUCUUAAGAUUGAGCUGUGAUGGGGAGAGGAACUUGUUCCUCGAGUCGUUGAUUUCACACUGCCGAGAAAAGCCUCUAGCUAGAAUAACGGUGCCCGUACCGCAAACCGACACAGGUAGUCAAGAUGAGAAUUCUAAGGUGAGCGAGCGAACUCUCGUUAAGGAACUCGGCAAAAUGACCCCGUAACUUCGGGAGAAGGGGUGCUCUUUGAGGUUCACGCUUCGAAGAGCCGCAGUGAAUAGGCCCAAGCGACUGUUUAUCAAAAACACAGGUCUCUGCUAAACCGUAAGGUGACGUAUAGGGGCUGACGCCUGCCCGGUGCUGGAAGGUUAAGAGGAGUGGUUAGCGCAAGCGAAGCUACGAAUCGAAGCCCCAGUAAACGGCGGCCGUAACUAUAACGGUCCUAAGGUAGCGAAAUUCCUUGUCGGGUAAGUUCCGACCCGCACGAAAGGCGUAACGAUUUGGGCACUGUCUCAACGAGAGACUCGGUGAAAUCAUAGUACCGGUGAAGAUGCCGGUUACCCGCGACAGGACGGAAAGACCCCGUGGAGCUUUACUGUAGCCUGAUAUUGAAAUUCGGUACAGUUUGUACAGGAUAGGUAGGAGCCUUAGAAGCGUGAGCGCUAGCUUACGUGGAGGCAUUGGUGGGAUACUACCCUAAUUGUAUUGGAUUUCUAACCCGCAGCACUUAUCGUGCUGGGAGACAGUGUCAGGCGGGCAGUUUGACUGGGGCGGUCGCCUCCUAAAGAGUAACGGAGGCGCUCAAAGGUUCCCUCAGAAUGGUUGGAAAUCAUUCAUAGAGUGUAAAGGCAUAAGGGAGCUUGACUGCGAGACCUACAAGUCGAGCAGGGUCGAAAGACGGACUUAGUGAUCCGGUGGUUCCGCAUGGAAGGGCCAUCGCUCAACGGAUAAAAGCUACCCCGGGGAUAACAGGCUUAUCUCCCCCAAGAGUUCACAUCGACGGGGAGGUUUGGCACCUCGAUGUCGGCUCAUCGCAUCCUGGGGCUGUAGUCGGUCCCAAGGGUUGGGCUGUUCGCCCAUUAAAGCGGUACGCGAGCUGGGUUCAGAACGUCGUGAGAC
rnacentral:rRNA from 1 species